CCAAAGCCCAAAACAAUGAGUCCAGCCACCGGAAGCACUUUAACUAUGUACAAAUCAAACUCCUACCGGUGCCUUUAAUUUGAAAGCACUCAACGGAACUACACCGGAGAAGCUGCUAAGCGCCACAUAAAUUAGUGUUUUAACAGUAAUUAAAGUGUGUCUUUCUACUUCCUUUGCUGGCAUUUAAACGAUCCGGGAGAUCAUUUAAUCACUCCCGACGCUUCCCGUGCACUAGCACCACCAUAGCACCCCAAAACAAGUGAAUAAAGGAGCGGGUUAGCUGUGUGUUGUGUUCAGGAGAAGCUAAUAAAAGGCUUGGAAAGCGGAUGGGGGAAUAAAAAGCCUAAAAAGUGAGACGAACAGGCGGUCAAUUCGGUCAAAUAAUACCCGAAUAACCACGUCUCUUCAAAGAAGUACAUAUAUUAUCGCAAAUAUAAGACCCCGUGUUGGUUCAAUUUGCAUCAGAGUGAAGGUAAAGGUAUCGCUCCAGCUGCGGGAAGGUGAGCUCCGGCAGGUCCAGCUGUGCUCCGUAGCGCUCGAGGAAGGAACAAAUGACGGCGUAAUUGGGACACAGGGCAGGGGGACAACUCGCCGUUGCCGCCGGAGCAGCCAUCUUUUUCCCUCCACACCAACCCGUCAAGCGUGCACAGCAACCACCAGAUGGUGCAAUUUAUUCGGCCCGGUCUGGUUUGCUGCCUUAAGGGGGCAAAAGUUGACUUUCUACCUGAGCGCUGCUGCCGUCUCUCUGCCCGUUGCCGUUCUCGCUUGCCCCGCCGGCCAAGUC